AGGAUUGGGAUAAACAAUUGCAAAAUAAGGUAGGAGAAACCAAGGCCCUGGAGAAACGACGAUUAUUGUUAUAUAAAUGUUGUGUGUUGAUGUCUGAAGUGCUUAAGUAUUAAUUGGCAUUGCUAGUCGGCUAUUGUUUAUCUUGAUUCCAGCAUCUUGGCCUCACAGUUCUCCACGAAGAGUCAGACAUGGGUGGCUGGAAGCUGGAGAUUUUCAAGAUGGGCAUGUACAUGACGUUCCCGGUCGGCCUUUUUUGGUACUUCAACCAGCCAGAGUACUUUGAGAAGUGGGUCAUUCAGACCAAGCAGCAGCUAUAUCCUCCGGCCAACAGGGACCACAGAAACGAACUAGAGGCAUUCAAAAAGGAAUAUCACCACAAAAAGACAGAAGAAUUUGAAAAACAGCUUUUAGAAGCUGACAAACACUGAGGUGUGUUGAAUGUGAGCUAUGUGCUGCGAUUUCUGAGUCCCUUCUCCACCUGUACCGCGCGGAAGGUGAGAUACCUGAGCUGUCAGUCCGCUUCCGCUACCACUUCCGCCAGCGAUACGGGAUGUGAUAGCGAUACCGUCAGGGUAGUGCAGUGCGUGCGUUUGGGAAGCCGAGUGUGCUCGUAGGAGUGAUAGCAGAUUGCGAGCUAGUGUGAAGUUGCUACUGGUUUUUUGGUGUUCUGGUACACAGAUACGUGACGUUGUGAGUGAUUUGUCCAGGUGUGUGUUGACUGUUCUCCGGAAGGCGGCUGUGUGCCGACGUGCGUGCUUGCGUGGCCCCACCCGCCGGAAGUGUGACGCGUGCGCAGCAUCACGAAGCGCCGCGGCUUUUUGCGGAGUCAGCUCACGUCAUGUGUAAACCAACCGCUCGAAGCAGCUCCCUUGGUCACGCCUCUGGCCACGUCACGGCUCACUCACUACGACAGUGUUCGGAAUCUAUGAGAUGUACGGUUGUACCCUGACGCAUCGUUUCGUUCAGUGAACACCGAUCGGCGUGCGUGCCGUUCUUCAAGUGGAGCUUCUGUCGGUGGUGACCGAUACAAGACGGUCACGGCCGAGCGGCCGCCCAAUGUCGCCCCUCUCAUUGGCUGACGGGCAGGAUGGUGACGUAGGCAGUGACGUAGUAAGGGAUUGCCUGACUUAAACACAAUCCGCCUGCCGUUUAAUAGUCUGCCGGGCUGAUGUAAGAGGUGCAAUGUCAUGGUGUGUGUUUGAAGAGGAGAACAUCCGGCAGUUCGAGGGAGAGGAUGGGUUAAACCACUUUCGUCUAGUGGUUUCAUUAGUUUGUUACACUUCCGCGGAAGGAGAACAUCCGGCAGUUUGGGGAGAGAAUGUGUGCAACAGGCCCAGCUGUGUAAAAAAUCGCUGCCCCUGCCACGUUGUUGUUGUACGUUAUCCAUGUUACAGACAAUGCAGGAGGGUCGUCCUCCGUUCGGCAACCGCAAUUUGUAAUUUUGGUCUGAUUAGAUCAAUAUGGCUUAUUUGUGCAUAAUUCGUUGUGUAAAAUACACGUUGCGAAUUUGU